rnacentral:rRNA from 1 species
AACGAACGCUGGCGGCAUGCCUAACACAUGCAAGUCGAACGAGACCUCCGGGUCUAGCGGCGCACGGGUGCGUAACGCGUGGGAACUUGCACUUAGGUUCGGAACAACUUCCCGAAAGGGGUGCUAAUACCGGAUAAUGUCUUCGGACCAAAGAUUUAUCGCCUUUGGAUGGGCCCGCGUUGGAUUAGCUAGUUGGUAGGGUAAAAGCCUACCAAGGCGACGAUCCAUAGCUGGUCCUAGAGGAUGAUCAGCCACACUGGGACUGAGACACGGCCCAGACUCAUACGGGAGGCAGCAGUGGGGAAUAUUGGGCGAUGGGCGGAAGCCUGAUCCAGCAAUGCCGCGUGAGUGAUGAAGGCCUGAGGGUUGUAAAGCUCUUUUACCCGGGAUGAUAAUGACAGUACCGGGAGAAUAAGCUCCGGCUAACUCCGUG